UGCCGGAUAGCUCAGUCAGUAAAGCACGAGACUCUUAAUCUCAGGGUUGUUGGUUUGAGCCCCAUGUUGGGCAA
rnacentral:tRNA from 1 species